rnacentral:rRNA from 1 species
GAUUGAACGCUGGCGGCAGGCCUAACACAUGCAAGUCGAGCGGUAGCACAGAGAGCUUGCUCUCGGGUGACGAGCGGCGGACGGGUGAGUAAUGUCUGGGAAACUGCCUGAUGGAGGGGGAUAACUACUGGAAACGGUAGCUAAUACCGCAUAAUGUCGCAAGACCAAAGUGGGGGACCUUCGGGCCUCAUGCCAUCAGAUGUGCCCAGAUGGGAUUAGCUAGUAGGUGGGGUAACGGCUCACCUAGGCGACGAUCCCUAGCUGGUCUGAGAGGAUGACCAGCCACACUGGAACUGAGACACGGUCCAGACUCCUACGGGAGGCAGCAGUGGGGAAUAUUGCACAAUGGGCGCAAGCCUGAUGCAGCCAUGCCGCGUGUGUGAAGAAGGCCUUCGGGUUGUAAAGCACUUUCAGCGGGGAGGAAGGCGGUGAGGUUAAUAACCUCAUCGAUUGACGUUACCCGCAGAAGAAGCACCGGCUAACUCCGUGCCAGCAGCCGCGGUAAUACGGAGGGUGCAAGCGUUAAUCGGAAUUACUGGGCGUAAAGCGCACGCAGGCGGUCUGUCAAGUCGGAUGUGAAAUCCCCGGGCUCAACCUGGGAACUGCAUUCGAAACUGGCAGGCUAGAGUCUUGUAGAGGGGGGUAGAAUUCCAGGUGUAGCGGUGAAAUGCGUAGAGAUCUGGAGGAAUACCGGUGGCGAAGGCGGCCCCCUGGACAAAGACUGACGCUCAGGUGCGAAAGCGUGGGGAGCAAACAGGAUUAGAUACCCUGGUAGUCCACGCCGUAAACGAUGUCGAUUUGGAGGUUGUGCCCUUGAGGCGUGGCUUCCGGAGCUAACGCGUUAAAUCGACCGCCUGGGGAGUACGGCCGCAAGGUUAAAACUCAAAUGAAUUGACGGGGGCCCGCACAAGCGGUGGAGCAUGUGGUUUAAUUCGAUGCAACGCGAAGAACCUUACCUGGUCUUGACAUCCACAGAACUUUCCAGAGAUGGAUUGGUGCCUUCGGGAACUGUGAGACAGGUGCUGCAUGGCUGUCGUCAGCUCGUGUUGUGAAAUGUUGGGUUAAGUCCCGCAACGAGCGCAACCCUUAUCCUUUGUUGCCAGCGGUCCGGCCGGGAACUCAAAGGAGACUGCCAGUGAUAAACUGGAGGAAGGUGGGGAUGACGUCAAGUCAUCAUGGCCCUUACGACCAGGGCUACACACGUGCUACAAUGGCAUAUACAAAGAGAAGCGACCUCGCGAGAGCAAGCGGACCUCAUAAAGUAUGUCGUAGUCCGGAUUGGAGUCUGCAACUCGACUCCAUGAAGUCGGAAUCGCUAGUAAUCGUAGAUCAGAAUGCUACGGUGAAUACGUUCCCGGGCCUUGUACACACCGCCCGUCACACCAUGGGAGUGGGUUGCAAAAGAAGUAGGUAGCUUAACCUUCGGGAGNGGCGCUUACCACUUUGUGAUUCAUGACUGGGGUGAAGUCGUAACAAG